ensembl:snoRNA
UUGCCAGCCUCCAGUGUGCUUGGGUCUGCAGUGACCCUGUGCAUUCCUACAGUGCUUGCGAGAACAGUUUUGAAAUGGUUUGAUGCCUUGCUCUGCUCCAUCUACAGAGAAAGGUAAUAGAAAUUCAGACAGUG